rnacentral:rRNA from 1 species
CGACCGGCGCACGGGUGAGUAACACGUAUCCAACCUGCCGUCUACUCUUGGACAGCCUUCUGAAAGGAAGAUUAAUACAAGAUGGCAUCAUGAGUCCGCAUGUUCACAUGAUUAAAGGUAUUCCGGUAGACGAUGGGGAUGCGUUCCAUUAGAUAGUAGGCGGGGUAACGGCCCACCAAGCCUUCGAUGGAUAGGGGUUCUGAGAGGAAGGUCCCCCACAUUGGAACUGAGACACGGUCCAAACUCCUACGGGAGGCAGCAUG